GGUGCCCUUCUUCCAUUCACAGGGCGUAACGAUGGUAAGCACAAGACAGAAGAGCAGCAAGAUCCCAGGCUGCAGCAAGUGAGGAUCUGCUCAGAUAUGACAACAGUGGGCAAAUAAAUAAGAGAAGGAAACAGCUCACCUUCAGAAAGACUUCAAGGUCCUCAGGUGGAAGCAGAACAGAAGAAAAAGGCUCAGCUUGAAAUUACCUUUUGCAAGUUGGAGUACUGAAGGACAUUAUCAGGACAGAGAUUCCUCCAGAGGGACAAGAAAAAAUAUGGAAGACAUUAAAAGCAGAAAGAAAAGGUAUGGAAACAGCAGCUGGAAAGGAGUUGGAUGCAAAACAGAUGUGGGAUCAGAACAUGGGGAAGGAAUGGGAAGAGCAAGAACAGAGGCUUCUCUGAAUGUUUGGAGAUCAAUUGUGAAAGAACAGGAGUUCUGCAUUUUUCAGCUGACCACUUCCAAAUUGAAGCUUUCCUCUCAGAAGUUUCAGGGGCACAGAAUAUUAGAAGAAUAUUAUAAAAACACAGAAAUGGUACACUGGUUCGAAGUAGAGUCCUGCAAAACAAACAGCAACUAGUCUACAGUGGUUUCUGCUGGCUGAACCAGUGUAUCCAAAGAAAAAUAAUAUUAUUUCAAUUUAAAUUAAAAAAAAAAAGAACUUUUUAUUUCCUUACGUUCCCUUAAGGUGAAGUAAACUAGUAAGGUAACUCAUAAUUAAACCGAUGCCAUAGUCUUUUUCCCCAAAAAUUACUCUGUUAUGAAUUCCUUUAUUACUGUCUUUUGCUCUAAAUGCACUGAUCAUGCAUCAUCUUG
rnacentral:lncRNA from 1 species